rnacentral:lncRNA from 1 species
GCUUGGAGAACGCAGCGCUGGAGCUGGCCCCAGGCGGGCAGUGGCCUCGGGCGAGGGCAGAAGGGCACUCCGGGCUGUGAAUAGAACACUUGCUUAUCCCUCCAGAGGACAAGCCGGUGGCAGGCCUGGAGCCCCCAGUGACGGGGUGAGCAGUGGGCAGCGAGGCAGAUGGGUCCUUAAAGAGUAGCUGACGUCUUCAGUGUCAGCUUCUAGCGUGGCCUGACAGCCCCCAGCAUCCCCGGAAUGCCCCCCACGGUCUAUCUGCUCCGAUAGACUAAAAAUUCCCUAAAUAGAAGCACCCUUGAGGCCGCUAUCAAUAUGGUACCUGCACAGAGUGGAUGUUAAGUAAAUACUUGAUGAGCGAAUGACAAGUGAUGGGAGGCUUGAAGGACAAACUUCCAGGGACAGGAAGGACGGUGCUGGGCUUUUUAUUUUGAGUUUUGGAAAGCCAUUGGGCAGUGUAAUUACUGGAUUAGGACCGGGCUGGAGACCAGCUUCCAGGCUAAUCUCUGCGGACCUAGUGAACUUCCCCUACUCUGUUCUAGCCUCCAGAAAGUUGCAUUUGCUUCCCCUCCGCACGCUUCCUUCACCAGGUUCCUGGUAUACAUCCUUCACAUUUCAGCGUGGGCAUUGCCAACAGAAAAGCCCUCAGGCUUCCCAAGAUGAAUCAUAAAGCCCUGAGGUGUUCCCUCCCAGGACUCUGCUUAACCCCUUUCUUGCAUGUACCACUGUGCUGUAGAAUGGGUUGUUCAUUUGCAAAAUGACCUCAUUAAGACAGUAAGCUCUUUGAAGCUGGGGGAAGGGGUCUUAUCCAAUUCAUCACGGCGUAUUCGUGGCACAUAAUCAAUAUGGAAUGAAUGAACAGAUUGAUUCAGGAAAUAGAACCCACAAAACUCAGUGGCCAAUUGGAUGUGAAGGAGAGGGAAGGAGGAAUCUUGAGAGACUUCCAGGUUUUCUGGCCCAAGGAAUUGGGUCACCUACAGGAAUUGCUUCUCUUAGCAAAGGACAUCAGUCAUAUUGGAUUAAGAACCCUUCCUACUCCAGUAGACUUCAUCUUAACUAGUGACAUCUGCAACCACCCUGUUUCCAAAUAAGGUCACAUUCUGAGAAGCUUGGAGACAGAACCUGGACUUUUAUGGGCAAGUGAGAUGCUGUGAACUGUUUACCCACUGAGAACAUAGAAAUGAUAUCAGGGGAUCAUGAUCAGUUUGAGAGACAUGGGCAGGAUGAAAUGAAAAUCAACAAUGCUAAAAGUUGGGAGCCAAUCAGAUAGAAGUCUGAAAUAUUAUAUGACACUCAAUCAGAAAGUUCAAUGUGAUUUGAGACUGUUUAAGCAAUGGGAUUAUAUAACAAACAAGAGCAAAAUAGGAUGCCCUAACCUGGAAUAUUGGACCUCAGGACUGAAAAAAAAAAAAAAGCAACUGGAGGGAGUCCAGAAAAGAUCAUCUACAGUGAUGGUUUUAAAGCAAAAUAUGAACUUUAUAGUGUAGCCAAACCACAGAGUCAGACCCAAAGGGCAUGAUAAAAAUCUACAAAUAGCUUUGGGGUCUAAACACCAAGGAUAAAGAGGAAUUUUGGCUGGAGAUAUGAAAAGCUUCAAGGGAUAAAGUUAAGGAAAAGGAAAUUUAGGUUAAGCAUCAGAAUGUAUCCUUUGAUAGUAAGAUGUGUGUGUUUGUAGAACAGUCUCUCAAGGGAAUAGAAAGAAUACUGAUGCGUUUUCUAGGAUCUCUGAUAAGAGGAUAGCUUGAUGUCAGUCCAAGGAUUCUAGAACUUCCAUUGGAAUAUUCUUGUGUCAUGACCAGAUGGAAUAGAUAGCAUAAGAUGUUUUUUAAAUCCUAGAUUUCUACAAUAAUUAUCAUUGAGAAUGAAUACUGAACAGAAUGUUCUGCUCUUUAAUGAAAG